rnacentral:rRNA from 1 species
AUUGAACGCUGGCGGCAGGCCUAACACAUGCAAGUCGGGCGAGCGGAGGACGGGUGAGUAAUGUAUGGGGAUCUGCCUGAUGGAGGGGGAUAACUACUGGAAACGGUAGCGAAUACCGCAUACCAUCAGAUGAACCCAUAUGGGAGUAGCUUGUAGGUAAGGUAACGGCUUACAUGGGCGACGAUCCCUAGCUGGUCUGAGAGGAGGAUCAGCCACACUGGGACUGAGACACGGCCCAGACUCCUACGGUAGGCAGCAGUGGGGAAUAUUGCACAAUGGGCGCAAGCCUGAUGCAGCCAUGCCGCGUGUAUGAAGAAGGCCUUCGGGUUGUAAAGUACUUUCAGCGAGGAGGCGUUACUCGCAGAAGAAGCACCGGCUAACUCCGUGCCAGCAGCCGCGGUAAUAC